rnacentral:rRNA from 1 species
GUGUCAGCAGCCGCGGUAAGACAGAGGGUGCAAACGUUGCUCGGAAUUACUGGGCGUAAAGCGCGUGUAGGCGGACCACCAAGUCGGACGUGAAAGCCCUGAGCUCAACUCAGGAACUGCAUCCGAAACUGGCGGUCUGGAGUAGUGGAGAGGAAAGCAGAAUUCCUGGUGUAGAGGUGAAAUUCGUAGAUAUCAGGAGGAACACCGGUGGCGAAGGCGGCUUUCUGGACACUUACUGACGCUGAGACGCGAAAGCGUGGGGAGCAAACAGGAUUAGAUACCCGCGUAGUCC